AUUUUCAUUGAUUUUAUCUAUGUUUUAGGUAUAGGAUUUUGAGUCUUUAUGUUAUUUCUCGAGUCUUUUUAGUGUCUUUUCAGGUAUUCUAUGCAGUGGGACAACAAUGGAGAUGAGGAGACAUUUUGGAGCAAAAGUUAAGGAAAAGGAAGCUAAGGACGAUUUUCAGUUCCACAUUCAGAGGAGUGUCGAUCGACACACUCUUGUUCUCGAUCGACCUAGUUUCAGCCCAGCAAAGUCCAUGACGCUUUCAUGUUUACAGAAAAGGAAAUUUGCCCCAGAAGACUUCCCUAUUUGCAUUAUUAGUCCAUGGACGUUUUAUAAGUUUUUUAUAUUGUUUUUAGACCUAAGUUCUCUUUUAUCAAGUUUUUU
rnacentral:sRNA from 1 species